CCUGAGGUCAAGAUGCCCCAGCUAACUUGUCUUGGCUUAUGUUAAACUGCUUGCUUGCACAAAACUUAGCCCUGCAGCUGCCAAGCACGAUACCAGGGUGUAGUUCUUGCCUUUAAAAAGCCCUUCCCCUAAACACUAGACUCUAUCCUUAGGUACUAAUUAUCUGAGUGUAGUCUGGCUGGUUAUAAUAGACUUUCAAUAGACCAUAAGCUGUGCCUGGCGGUCAUCUCUGGUGGGUCCUUAUAACAUGAUGGAUGUAGGUCUCACCCUCAUCAGAAAACCUCUCUUUGUAACAGAUGGAGGUCAACACAGAAAACCGGAACUGACAAGAAUGCAGGGUUAUGGAGUCCACUCCCAACUGAUACAUCUACAAGACAUCUCCUGCACCGAUGGCUUAGAAAGCAUAUCAGAAGAAGGGGUAAAAAGAUUGCAGAUGACAGAGAUUGUGUGCCCUAGAAAUGUCGCAAGCUACACCCAUGAAGCCUCACUAAUACAGCUACCUAAAUAUGACCUGAAUGAAGACACCAUCAAUAGACAAGCUAAUGUGGAAGUGGAAUGUCUAGCAGCUUCUUCUGUGAAGCAGGAACCCUCAAAGACUAUCCCAUCUUCUGGAAAGUUCAGCAGUCACUUUUCUAUGGAUCCUGCCUGUCCAGUUCAUACAGCAUACCAAGCAAUCCAGAGAAGAGCAGUUUCUUGUGCAUGAAGAAGGGGACUUUUAAGCCCAGCAGUGGUGGCACACACCUUUAAUCCCAGCACUCGGGAGGCAGAGGCACACUGAUCUCUGUCUGGACAGCCGGGAAAACAAACAAGCAGCAUCCACCAACAGCUCAUCCCCAGGAAAACUCUGUAUCAACAGCAGGUUUGGGGCUAUUGUUCAGGACCAUCUUACCUGUGCCAUGGACCCUUCCCACAGUCCUAGUUAGUUCUGUUGUCACCUUGACAUCCUUGGAGAGAGUGAAGAACCUCAAUUAAAGAAUUGCCUCCAUCACAUUGGCCUGUGGGAAUGUCUGUGGUUGUUCAUUGCUGUGGGAAGGCCCAGUCCACUGUGGGUGGUGUCAUCCCUAGGCAGGUGAGCUUUAGCCACACUGGUAAGUGACUGUGAGUCUGGGAGCAAAUCAGUAAGCUGCAUGUGUACAUGUUCUCUGCUUCAGUUUCUGCCUCCAGGUUCCUGCUUCAGUUCUUGCCCAACUUCCCUCUGUGAUGGACCAUGACUUAGAAAUGGAAGUCAGAUAACCGCUUUCCUCUCCCACACUGCUUUUGAUCAGUAGGAAACCAAAACAGAACAUCCAUUCUGUCUCCUUUAACAUCCACGGGGGGAAGAUGAUACACCAAGGAGGGUUUUAAUCAUGUGAUUGCUGCGGGAAGUUAAUAACUACAUUUUUAUUUUGUUCCUAUCUUCUGCCUCAAGGAUAAUGUGAUUCAAACGAGAAGAAACCGAAGGCCCGGGGAGAUUUGGAGGCAUACAGAGAAUGUUAAGUAGCUUCAAAUGAGUAGAAGCCUUUGGGCACUCCCAAAAUUACCACGGAAAGCACUGAAGAAGUGAUCGGAGAACAUUAAUGUCCUCAUUGGACCCUGGAGGUUGGAAGAAGUGCCAACAGCCACAGUGAACAGUGUUCUGGUGGUCAUGAAAGGGAACUGGGGUCCACAAGAGGCAGACCAUGGCCUAGCCAUACACUUCCUUCUGCAAGUUCCUAAAUGGAUAUUGACCACACCUCAGUGGUUUCUUUAAAAGUACACCCUGACCAUGUACAUUUAAAAAUUAAUGAUUUUUCCCACUUUGUUGUUUGUUAAACUAGUAAUUAAAAGAAAACAAAAGUUACUUUAGUGGACACACUAAGAAAUCAAUUACAUUCUAAAACACCAAAAGGAGAAUUUUUAAAGAUCAGAAUUAAAUCAAAUACUAAUGGACAUAAAUAAAGGCCCUGGCAUAAUCCCCUCUGUAACAGCAAAAGCACUAGAGGAAGGGGAGCCAUCUUGUUGAUAAUUUAUAUUUAAAAAUCUAAGUUAGUUUAUGCUUUUUGUGCCCUCGUGGUCAGUAUAAGUCAGGAAUCCAGCUAGUUAUCAAACUGUCUAUCCCAAUUCUGCCACAUGAAUCAAUGUCAAUGUAAGUAGAUCAAAGUUCUAAUAUUCUAGGCAAGUCUUUAUCUGGGGUCCACUGCCCAGGGUAUAUUCAUCUAGACAGACCUCUGUGUACCCCCAAAGUCGCAUGUGUUGAGGACUUGAUCCCAGUGUAGAAACUGUUGGGGGGUGAUGGACCCUCAGGAAGAUGGGGCCUCACCGAAGGAAGUUAGGUCAGGGAGCAUCCCUUUGAUAGGUGCGUUGUCCCUUUGUAUCUGUCACUUUGAUUUCUACCUGCUGCAAGUAUGCAGAAGCACAGUACAGGUCCCUGUCAUGAUGUCCCAGCACAUUGACAAUGGGUCGAAACCUCUGGAACCAGGGUCUAAAAACAAACCUUCCUUCUUUAAGGGUUGUUUAUUGCUCAAAUAUCUUACAGUGAUGUAAAUAUGACUAACAUGGGACACUGACAACUUGAAAAUAUUAUGCAGCUCAGGGCAGGUGGGUGUGGGAAAUCCUUCUGUAUAUGUGUUGCUUUUAUUGGUUAAUGGAUAAAGAAGCUGUGUUGGCCUGUUAUAGGGCAGAACAGAGC